rnacentral:rRNA from 1 species
CGUAGGUGGCAAGCGUUGUCCGGAAUUAUUGGGCGUAAAGCGCGCGCAGGCGGUCCUUUAAGUCUGAUGUGAAAGCCCACGGCUCAACCGUGGAGGGUCAUUGGAAACUGGGGGACUUGAGUGCAGAAGAGGAGAGCGGAAUUCCACGUGUAGCGGUGAAAUGCGUAGAGAUGUGGAGGAACACCAGUGGCGAAGGCGGCUCUCUGGUCUGUAACUGACGCUGAGGCGCGAAAGCGUGGGGAGCAAACAGGAUUAGAUACCCUGGUAGUCCACGCCGUAAACGAUGAGUGCUAAGUGUUAGGGGGUUUCCGCCCCUUAGUGCUGCAGCAAACGCAUUAAGCACUCCGCCUGGGGAGUACGGCCGCAAGGCUG